GGACAUGGAGGCAUUUAAAAGUGUCUGAAUGAAAGAAUACAAGCCUAACUUCUGACUUCCUGACUCCCCACCCUUUAAGUGGGGCCUGGGGAGGUCUUCAUUCGACAGCAAACAUCUACGGAGGACCUGGCUCUUGCCCGGAGAAAGGGGAUCUAAGGCCAAGAAAAUGGGCAAAUGGACAUUUUUGCCUCCGUGUGGAUCCCAGGCGGUAUGUGUGCGCCCAAACAGCAUCCACGGUGCUGCUCUGGGUGGAUCCUUUUCCUGGCGUUCUCUCUCCCAUCUUGGAUAACGUUCUAUGAGUCUAGAAAAUCCAGCACACAACAGACCCAGUGAAGGACUUUUCGGAGGUGAUGACAGG
rnacentral:lncRNA from 1 species